rnacentral:tRNA from 1 species
GGAAAAUUACGAGGCAAAACCGCUGUCUCUUAAUCAGCGGGUCCUUGGUUCGAGCCCAAGUGCGUCCACCA